rnacentral:rRNA from 1 species
GACAGAGGGGGCAAGCGUUGCUCGGAAUCACUGGGCGUAAAGGGCGCGUAGGCGGGAUGGCAAGUCGGUCGUGAAAUCCUUCGGCUCAACCGAAGAACGUCGGCCGAUACUGCCGUUCUUGAGGGAUGCAGAGGAGAUUGGAAUUCCCGGUGUAGCGGUGAAAUGCGCAGAUAUCAGGAGGAACACCGGUGGCGAAGGCGGUUCUCUGGGCAUUACCUGACGCUGAGGAGCGAAAGUGUGGGGAGCGAACAGG